AACGAACGCUGGCGGCAUGCCUAACACAUGCAAGUCGAACGAUCCCUUCGGGGAUAGUGGCGCACGGGUGCGUAACGCGUGGGAACCUGCCCUUAGGUUCGGAAUAACUCAGAGAAAUUUGAGCUAAUACCGGAUAAUGUCUUCGGACCAAGAUUUAUCGCCUUUGGAUGGGCCCGCGUUGGAUUAGCUAGUUGGUGGGGUAAAGGCCUACCAAGGCGACGAUCCAUAGCUGGUCUGAGAGGAUGAUCAGCCACACUGGGACUGAGACACGGCCCAGACUCCGACGGGAGGCAGCAGUGGGGAAUAUUGGACAAUGGGCGAAAGCCUGAUCCAGCAAUGCCGCGUGAGGGAUGAAGGCCUUAGGGUUGUAAAGCUCUUUUACCCGGGAUGAUAAUGACAGUACCGGGAGAAUAAGCCCCGGCUAACUCCG
rnacentral:rRNA from 1 species